AUCCUUAGUCUGGCCUUGAGACUAGGUAUGGAUAUGGGUAGGAUUAGGAUUGAAAAAAAAAAUCUGUUCUUAUCAGUUUAAUAUCUGAUACGUCCUCUAUAUUAAACAGAUUUUUAGAGCUGGGAAAGGGGAAAAGGGGCUUGCUACGUCCACUCCACGGCCUGGUAUUGCAGUACUUCCAGGCUUGGUGCACCGUUU